ACCAGACUCCUACGGGAGGCAGCAGUGGGGGAUAUUGCACAAUGGGGGGAACCCUGAUGCAGCGACGCCGCGUGGGUGAAGAAGCGCCUCGGCGCGUAAAGCCCUGUCAGCAGGGAAGAAAAUGACGGUACCUGAAGAAGAAGCCCCGGCUAACUACGUGCCAGCAGCCGCGGUAAUACGUAGGGGGCAAGCGUUAUCCGGAUUUACUGGGUGUAAAGGGGGCGCAGACGGCGAUGCAAGCCAGGAGUGAAAGCCCGGGGCCCAACCCCGGGACUGCUCUUGGAACUGCGUGGCUGGAGUGCAGGAGGGGCAGGCGGAAUUCCUGGUGUAGCGGUGAAAUGCGUAGAUAUCAGGAGGAACACCGGUGGCGAAGGCGGCCUGCUGGACUGCAACUGACGUUGAGGCCCGAAAGCGUGGGGAGCAAACAGGAUUAGAUACCCCCGUAAUC
rnacentral:rRNA from 1 species